rnacentral:lncRNA from 1 species
CUAUUGCCCUCACAGCAGGGUUCGACACUUAACUUCCUGAAACUUGCGGGCUCCCCCGUACCUCCCAAAUUUUCCUUACGGAGGGGCCCCCGUACCAGGCUCCUGUACCGGCCGAAAACCUUACGGGGGCCCCCGUAACCCCCGCAAAACCUUUACGGGGGCACUGUCCUUGGCUGAAACGCUGUGGAAAGUGACGCUUUGCAUUUUUUUUGCCCUGUAAAUCGUUAUUUUCGUUAUUUUCUCGUGAACCAUUACACUCGGGGACACGGCACACUCAGCGAAAGCCAAGCGCCUUGGCCGCCUUGGCCGCCCAUCCCUUCUGCUCCAUUUUCUCGUCCUCCUCCUCCUCAUCAUCAUCAAAAUCUUCAUCCACGCACGACUCAUCGGUAUCUCGUUCUACGUCGGUCUCGUAGUCACUGUCACUAAAAGCCUCAUCGUCACUAGCGGGGUAUGUUGCUUGUACCAGUAAUUCAAUCUCUGGGUCAGUCGCAACCUCCUCAUUAUCAUCCUCUCCGUAUGGAUUCAAAUUAAUUUUGCUAACGUCAAAAAGGCUUAUCAUCUACUUUCUUUGUGGGAACAGGUUGGCUUGCAGGCUUUCCAUCCUUUAUAUGGUCCGUCCUCUCCCCUACAGGGCCCCGUACGGCCUCUUAUAAAUCCUUAAAAUCCUUACGGGAGCCACCGUAACCGGCCUUCGGCCGGUCCGGGGCCGGCCC